rnacentral:rRNA from 1 species
CACGUAGGGCGCAAGCGUUGUCCGGAAUUAUUGGGCGUAAAGAGCUCGUAGGUGGUUUGUUACGUCUGCUGUGAAAACCUAGGGCUUAACCCUGGGCUUGCAGUGGAUACGGGCAGACUAGAGGUAGGUAGGGGAGAAUGGAAUUCCUGGUGUAGCGGUGAAAUGCGCAGAUAUCAGGAGGAACACCGGUGGCGAAGGCGGGUCUCUGGGCCGGUACUGACGCUGAGGUGCGAAAGCGUGGGGAGCAAACAGG